UGUGUCGUUUGGAGCUGUUGUGUU
rnacentral:siRNA from 1 species